rnacentral:rRNA from 1 species
UACGAAGGGGGCUAGCGUUGCUCGGAAUCACUGGGCGUAAAGCGCACGUAGGCGGAUCUUUAAGUCAGGGGUGAAAUCCCAAGGCUCAACCUUGGAACUGCCUUUGAUACUGGGGAUCUCGAGUCCGGAAGAGGUGAGUGGAACUGCGAGUGUAGAGGUGAAAUUCGUAGAGAUCAUGAGGAAGACCAGUGGCGAAGGCGGGUCUCUGGACAGUUCCUGACACUGAGGCACGAAGGCCAGGGGAGCAAACGGG